rnacentral:rRNA from 1 species
GACGAACGCUGGCGGCGUGCUUAACACAUGCAAGUCGAACGGAAAGGCCCUGCGUUUGUGGGGUGCUCGAGUGGCGAACGGGUGAGUAACACGUGAGUAACCUGCCCUUGACUUUGGGAUAACUUCAGGAAACUGGGGCUAAUACCGGAUAGGAGCUCCUGCUGCAUGGUGGGGGUUGGAAAGGUUCGGCGGUUGGGGAUGGACUCGCGGCUUAUCAGCUUGUUGGUGGGGUAGUGGCUUACCAAGGCUUUGACGGGUAGCCGGCCUGAGAGGGUGACCGGCCACAUUGGGACUGAGAUACGGCCCAGACUCCUACGGGAGGCAGCAGUGGGGAAUAUUGCACAAUGGGCGGAAGCCUGAUGCAGCAACGCCGCGUGCGGGAUGACGGCCUUCGGGUUGUAAACCGCUUUCGCCUGUGACGAAGCGUGAGUGACGGUAAUGGGUAAAGAAGCACCGGCUAACUACGUG